GUCAAGUCUGAGGCAGUUUAGGCUGUACUGAGGCUUUGGUUUUGCCAAGACUGGUAUCAUACAGGUGACCCCUUCGAUCUGCCUUCCCCACUUGAAUUCUCAAUAACUUUCAAGAGCCAGGUGAGAAGAGGGCAGUGCUAUAGGAGGAGUGACCACUGGAGAUAUGCCAGUCCAGUGAAGUUGUAUUGUGAUGGUCAUCAUUUGAAUUCAAGUGGAGGAAAAAAAAUCUCAUA